rnacentral:tRNA from 1 species
GUCUGUGUAGUAUAUUAAUUAUACUG